UUGAAUGGCCUCAUGGCCUUCAUCCUUCUACCCUUGUGGAUUAAGAUGUGCCUUCGGCCCUAGUGGCCGGCUUUUAUGCUGUAGACUUUGUCUGACAUGAUUAUUAAAAAUCA
rnacentral:misc_RNA from 1 species